GGAGGUAUAGCUCAGUGGUAGGGUGCAUGCCUAGCAUGCAUGAGGUUCUGGGUUCAAUCUCCGGUACUUCCA
rnacentral:tRNA from 1 species